rnacentral:rRNA from 1 species
GACGAACGCUGGCGGUGUGCUUAACACAUGCAAGUGGUGCGACGAACCAGAGCUUGCUCUGGGGCAAAGCCGCGAACGGUGAGUAACACGUGGGUAAUCUACCCCGAUGACCGGGACAACCCCGAGGAAACUCGGGCUAAUACCGGAUGUGGUACGGAGACAUAAGUCUCUUUACUAAAGGUAGCUUCGGCUUCCGCAAUUGGGAGGGGCCCGCGGCCCAUUAGCUAGUUGGUGGGGUCAAGGCCUACCAAGGCAACGAUGGGUAGCUGGUCUGAGAGGACGAUCAGCCACACUGGGACUGAGACACGGCCCAGACUCCUACGGGAGGCAGCAGUGGGGAAUCUUGCGCAAUGCGCGAAAGCGUGACGCAGCAACACCGCGUGAGGGAAGACGGCCUUAGGGUUGUAAACCUCUUUCAGAUGGGACGAAGGUGAUGCGUGAAUAGCCGAUGUCAUUGACGGUACCGUCAGAAGAAGCUCCGGCUAACUACGUGCCAGCAGCCGCGGAAU